rnacentral:rRNA from 1 species
AUAAGGUUAAGUUAAUAAGGGCGCACGGUGGAUGCCUUGGCACUAGAAGCCGAUGAAGGACGUGACUAACGACGAAAUGCUUUGGGGAGUUGUAAGUAAACAUUGAUCCAGAGAUGUCCGAAUGGGGGAACCCGGCAUGUAAUGCAUGUCACUCAUUACUGUUAAGG